CGGGAAGUAGCUCAGCUUGGUAGAGCACCAGUAUGGGGUACUGGGGGUCGCAGGUUCAAGUCCUGUCUUUCCGA
rnacentral:tRNA from 3 species